rnacentral:rRNA from 1 species
CGCCGCUCAUGGCACGA